UACGUAGGGGGCAAGCGUUGUCCGGAUUUAUUGGGCGUAAAGAGCUCGUAGGCGGUCUGUCGCGUCGGCUGUGAAAACUCGGGGCUCAACCCCGAGCCUGCAGUCGAUACGGGCAGACUAGAGUGCGGUAGGGGAGACUGGAAUUCCUGGUGUAGCGGUGAAAUGCGCAGAUAUCAGGAGGAACACCAGUGGCGAAGGCGGCUCACUGGCCCGUAACUGACGCUGAUGCGCGAAAGCCAGGGGAGCAAACGGG
rnacentral:rRNA from 1 species